rnacentral:rRNA from 1 species
AGAGUUUGAUUCUGGCUCAGAACGAACGCUGGCGGCGUGGAUAAGACAUGCAAGUCGAACGAGAGAAUUGCUAGCUUGCUAAUAAUUCUCUAGUGGCGCACGGAUGAGUAACACGUGGGUAACCUGCCCCCGAGAGCGGGAUAGCCCUGGGAAACUGGGAUUAAUACCGCAUAGUAUCGAAAGAUUAAAGCAGCAAUGCGCUUGGGGAUGGGCUCGCGGCCUAUUAGUUAGUUGGUGAGGUAACGGCUCACCAAGGCGAUGACGGGUAGCCGGUCUGAGAGGAUGUCCGGCCACACUGGAACUGAGACACGGUCCAGACACCUACGGGUGGCAGCAGUCGAGAAUCAUUCACAAUGGGGGAAACCCUGAUGGUGUGACGCCGCGUGGGGGAAUGAAGGUCUUCGGAUUGUAAACCCCUGUCAUGUGGGAGCAAAUUAAAAAGAUAGUACCACAAGAGGAAGAGACGGCUAACUCUGUGCCAGCAGCCGCGGUAAUACAGAGGUCUCAAGCGUUGUUCGGAAUCACUGGGCGUAAAGCGUGCGUAGGCUGUUUCGUAAGUCGUGUGUGAAAGGCGCGGGCUCAACCCGCGGACGGCACAUGAUACUGCGAGACUAGAGUAAUGGAGGGGGAACCGGAAUUCUCGGUGUAGCAGUGAAAUGCGUAGAUAUCGAGAGGAACACUCGUGGCGAAGGCGGGUUCCUGGACAUUAACUGACGCUGAGGCACGAAGGCCAGGGGAGCGAAAGGGAUUAGAUACCCCUGUAGUCCUGGCAGUAAACGGUGCACGCUUGGUGUGCGGGGAAUCGACCCCCUGCGUGCCGGAGCUAACGCGUUAAGCGUGCCGCCUGGGGAGUACGGUCGCAAGAUUAAAACUCAAAGAAAUUGACGGGGACCCGCACAAGCGGUGGAGUAUGUGGCUUAAUUCGAUGCAACGCGAAGAACCUUACCUGGGCUUGACAUGUAAUGAACAACACGUGAAAGCAUGCGACUCUUCGGAGGCGUUACACAGGUGCUGCAUGGCCGUCGUCAGCUCGUGUCGUGAGAUGUUUGGUUAAGUCCAGCAACGAGCGCAACCCCUGUUGCCAGUUACCAGCACGUGAAGGUGGGGACUCUGGCGAGACUGCCCAGAUCAACUGGGAGGAAGGUGGGGACGACGUCAGGUCAGUAUGGCCCUUAUGCCCAGGGCUGCACACGUACUACAAUGCCCAGUACAGAGGGGGCCGAAGCCGCGAGGCGGAGGAAAUCCUGAAAACUGGGCCCAGUUCGGACUGUAGGCUGCAACCCGCCUACACGAAGCCGGAAUCGCUAGUAAUGGCGCAUCAGCUACGGCGCCGUGAAUACGUUCCCGGGUCUUGCACACACCGCCCGUCA